rnacentral:lncRNA from 1 species
CCCAACCCUUUUGUUUCAUGGUUACCAAGGCACCUUGCACAAAAGACAAUAGCAGGCUGGCCACCUCUGCCCAGCUUCCCCAGCAGCCUGCACAGUGCAUCACCACAUCUGACUGGGACAUGGACAGGAGAGGCAUAACUAUGUCAUCCAGCUUCAUCACUGUGAUCUGUCUGAAUGGAGGAACUAGGUCUUUUACUAAUGCAGUCUGCCACAAUCAUUUUUAGGAGGAAAGUAAAACAAAUGUGAAUAUAUGUAGGAUGGAAGAAUAGUAGGAAAUUUUGCUGCCCAACAAAAUGCUGUAUCUGUG